GAUGAAGAACGUAGCGAAACGCGAUAUGUAAUGUGAAUUGCAGAAUUCGGUGAAUCAUCGAAUCUUUGAACGCACAUGGCGCCUUCCAGUAUCCUGGGAGGCAUGCCUGUCCGAGCGUCGUUUCAACCCUCGAGCCCCCGUGGCCCGGCGUUGGGGAUCUGCCCAGGCAGUCCCCGAAAACCAGUGGCGGACCCGUUACAGGCCCUUCCCUUGCGUAGUAGCAUUCGCCUCGCAUCGGGAGCCGGCGGGCUUCCAGCCUCUAAACCCCCAUCAAGUCCGCCCCGGCGGCACCAAGGUUGACCUCGGAUCAGGUAGGAAUACCCGCUGAACUUAAGCAUAUCAAUAAGCGGAGGA
rnacentral:misc_RNA from 1 species